rnacentral:rRNA from 1 species
GACAGAGGGUGCAAACGUUGUUCGGAUUUACUGGGCGUAAAGCGCGUGUAGGCGGCCAGAUAAGUCCGCUGUGAAAACUCGAGGCUCAACUUCGAGCUGUCGGCGGAAACUAUCUGGCUAGAGUCCGGAAGAGGAGAGUGGAAAUCCUGGUGUAGCGGUGAAAUGCGCAGAUAUCAGGAAGAACACCCGUGGCGAAGGCGGCUCUCUGGGACGGUACUGACGCUGAGACGCGAAAGCGUGGGGAGCGAACAGG